UUUGAAAUCUGGCGGUCUCAGGCCGUCCGAGUUGUAAUCUAGAGAGGCGUUUUCCGUGCCGGACCGCGUACAAGUCCCUUGGAACAGGGCGUCAUAGAGGGUGAGAAUCCCGUCCGUGACGCGGACUUCCGGUGCUCUGUGAUACACCUUCAAAGAGUCGAGUUGUUUGGGAAUGCAGCUCAAAAUGGGUGGUAAAUUCCAUCUAAAGCUAAAUACAGGCGAGAGACCGAUAGCGAACAAGUACCGUGAGGGAAAGAUGAAAAGAACUUUGGAAAGAGAGUUAAACAGUACGUGAAAUUGUUGAAAGGGAAACGCUUGAAGUCAGUCGCGUCUGCCGGGACUCAGCCUUGCUUCUGCUUGGUGCACUUCCCGGUAGAUGGGCCAGCGUCGAUUUUGGUCGCCGGAAAAGGGUGGGAGGAAUGUGGCAGCUUGCUGUGUUAUAGCCUUCUAUCGUACACGGUGACUGGGAUCGAGGAC
rnacentral:rRNA from 1 species